CAGGCGACGUCUUCUUCGACAAAAGAUUCGCCAUCUUCAGACAAAGUCGUCGGCGAAAGAAAUGAAGGUUGGAUCGGCGGCGAAAAAAUCAGAGGCUGGAUCAUUUGAUCGGACAAACUGGGAAAUGAUAGCAACUACAGUUUAUUGAGCGUCCAAAAUGAUAUCAACGGGAUGACAUGCUUUGGAUUUCAUUGGAGAGAAGAUGGUGUCCUUUAUCAUGAUUUUAUAGUUUCUUUUUUCACUGAAAUUUGAUGUUUCCUUCUUAGAGUUCACAGUGGUUUCCAAUAAAAAUAGUUAUGUUUGUUGUUUUUUUAAAUGUUUACUCGUUUUAUUUUUUUUGUUCAAACAAGUUAAUAGUGGAUUAUGUUUAUUUAGUAGUGGAUUUGCGUUAAUUUAA